rnacentral:lncRNA from 1 species
AUUGAGAUUAUUUUUGGAUUAAGACAAAAAGGGGGAGGUGAAAAAUCUUGGGGUACUGUUUUUCUCAUUUCAGAUUUCAGAAAUACAAAUUAAAAUUUCCUCAUUAAUUUUUUGUUGUUGAAGGAAUUAAUAUCCAACAGCAUAGUGUAUUGCUCAAAAGCAAAAAAAAUAAUUUUAAGUUCAUUAGACCACAUUCAUUCUGUGUCAAAACCUAUGCUGUGUUAACAAUUUAAUCACAAUCCAAAUUCAGAGCUGUAUCAAGCUUGAAUAUUGUUUCCAUACUUGCCCCAACUGUUCAGGGUUCAUCAUCUGCGGUCGUAUAAAGCUGCACCCUGCAGAGCAUCUGGUU